UACGGAGGGUGCAAGCGUUAUCCGGAUUUACUGGGUUUAAAGGGUGUGUAGGCGGGCUUUUAAGUCAGUGGUGAAAUCUCCGAGCUCAACUUGGAACUGCCAUUGAUACUAUUAGUCUUGAAUUCUGUUGAGGUUGGCGGAAUAAGUCAUGUAGCGGUGAAAUGCAUAGAUAUGACUUAGAACACCGAUUGCGAAGGCAGCUAACUAAGCAGAUAUUGACGCUGAGGCACGAAAGCGUGGGGAUCAAACAGG
rnacentral:rRNA from 1 species